AUUGAACGCUGGCGGCAGGCCUAACACAUGCAAGUCGAGCGGAUGAAGGGAGCUUGCUCCUGGAUUCAGCGGCGGACGGGUGAGUAAUGCCUAGGAAUCUGCCUGGUAGUGGGGGAUAACGUCCGGAAACGGGCGCUAAUACCGCAUACGUCCUGAGGGAGAAAGUGGGGGAUCUUCGGACCUCACGCUAUCAGAUGAGCCUAGGUCGGAUUAGCUAGUUGGUGGGGUAAAGGCCUACCAAGGCGACGAUCCGUAACUGGUCUGAGAGGAUGAUCAGUCACACUGGAACUGAGACACGGCCCAGACUCCUACGGGAGGAAGCAGUGGGGAAUAUUGGACAGUGGGCGAAAGCCUGAUCCAGCCAUGCCGCGGGUGUGAAGAAGGACUUCGGAUUGUAAAGCACUGUAAGUUGGGAGGAAGGGCAGUAAGUUAAUACCUUGCUGUUUUGACGUUACCAACAGAAUAAGCACCGGCUAACUUCGUG
rnacentral:rRNA from 1 species